rnacentral:rRNA from 1 species
AACCCCUAGCAAAUCUCAAAAAAGCCGUCUCAGUUCGGAUUGGGCUCUGCAACCCGAGCCCAUGAAGUUGGAAUCGCUAGUAAUCGUGGAUCAGCAUGCCACGGUGAAUACGUUCCCGGGCCUUGUACACACCGCCCGUCACACCAUGGGAGUUGGUUUUACCUGAAGGCGGUGCGCUAACCCGCAAGGGAGGCAGCCGACCACGGUAGGGUCAGCGACUGGGGUGAAGUCGUAACAAGGUAGCCGUAGGGGAACCUGCGGCUGGAUCACCUCCUUUAUG